UAACGCGUGAGUAACCUGCCUCAUACAACGGGAUACCCGAGGGAAACUUCGGUUAAUACGGUAUAAGACCACACUACCGCAUGGUAGAGGGGUAAAAGGGGCAACCUGGUAUGAGAUGGACUCGCGUCGCAUUAGCUAGUUGGUGAGGUAACGGCCCACCAAGGCGACGAUGCGUAGCCGACCUGAGAGGGUGAUCGGCCACAUUGGGACUGAGAUACGGCCCAGACUCCUACGGGAGGCAGCAGUGGGGAAUAUUGGGCAAUGGAGGAAACUCUGACCCAGCAAUGCCGCGUGAAUGAAGAAGGUCUUCGGAUUGUAAAGUUCUUUAGUCAGGGAAGAAGUCAAUGACGGUACCUGAAGAAUAAGCUCCGGCUAACUACGUGCCAGCAGCCGCGGUAAUACGUAGGGAGCAAGCGUUGUUCGGAAUGACUGGGCGUAAAGGGUGCGCAGGCGGUUGUACAAGUUAGAAGUGAAAUACCCAGGGCUUAACUCGGGUGCUGCUUCUAAAACUGUAUGACUUGAGUGCAGUAGAGGUUAGUGGAAUUCCUAGUGUAGCGGUGGAAUGCGUAGAUAUUAGGAGGAACACCAGAGGCGAAGGCGGCUAACUGGACUGCAACCGACGCUGAGGCACGAAAGUGUGGGGAGCAAACAGGAUUAGAUACCCUGGUAGU
rnacentral:rRNA from 1 species